CACGUAGGGGGCAAGCGUUGUCCGGAAUUAUUGGGCGUAAAGAGCUCGUAGGCGGUCUGUCGCGUCGGCUGUGAAAUCCCGAGGCUCAACCUCGGGUCUGCAGUCGAUACGGGCAAACUAGAGUAUUGCAGGGGAGACUGGAAUUCCUGGUGUAGCGGUGAAAUGCGCAGAUAUCAGGAGGAACACCGGUGGCGAAGGCGGGUCUCUGGGCCGAUACUGACGCUGAGGAGCGAAAGCGUGGGGAGCGAACAGG
rnacentral:rRNA from 1 species